rnacentral:lncRNA from 1 species
GAAAAAUAAAAAGAUGAACUCUUUGAGAUUAGAGGUAAUAAUAUCAAGAAAUAUCUGUUCUCAUUUGAGUGCAUGUGUCUCUGCAAAAUUCAUAUGUUGGAACUUAAAGCCCAGGGUGAUGGUAUUAAGAGGUGGUAGAAAGGCAUUUGGGAAUGGAUUACAUCAUAAAGGCUCUACCCUGAUUAAUGGGAUUAUGGAACAGGCUUCAAAGAGCUACCUGGAACUUCCAUCACUUCUACCAUGUGAAGAUAAACAUGAAUCUCUUUUUUCCCUUAUAUUUCUUCUGCCAUGUGAGAACACAGUAUUUGUCUUUUCCACCUUUCCAUGAUGUGAGGACACCCCAAGAAUGUCCCCUAAAGACAGGAAACAAGACAUGGAAUCUUCUGGCACCAUGAUCUUGGACUUCAUAGCCUCCAAAAUGCUUUGCUGUUCUAAGAGAAGUCAAGGUGAAGGGUUUAGUGCCUCUGAAGCUGGGGCAAGAAAACAAUCGGCUUCUCCAACGGUCAGUAAAGAAUACAAGGGCACAGUUAAAACAGAGCCACUGAAGUGAACAACCUUCAUGUGACCAACAGGAGAAACACCCCCUCCAGGAACCUAAGACCAGUUUGCUACAAGAAUACAAUUGGUAUUCCCCACAGUCACCCUCACAAGGGACACUUACAAAGCACACUCCAAUCUCAGCCAUUACUGACUGACAAGAGCCUGCCUGUCUGAAGCCUGCAGGCCCGAGAAGCUUCUUUCUCCCUUCUCUUGGCUAUUAGUCACAGCUGGUAAGGCUCACAGGAACCGAGACUGUUUGAAAACAGUUGGAUCACGAAAACGUUUGAGUCUUUCUGCUGCAAGCAACAAACUUGGCCCAGGCUGCCACAAGGAGAUGGAGUGGGAGUGGGGGUGGCGAUGGGAUGCACCAGGAACGAAGGAAGAAAGGGAAAUUGCUAACCACCUCACUUCAAAAUCUUCUCUGAGGGAGCCCGUGGCUAUUAUCCUGGUUCAAAUGUCACAGAUAGAAGAUAAUAAAAACAAGAAGAAAUAAAAUUCAAGAUCCAUUAGAACACUUCUGGAUUGUCCAUUACAGCAUGUAUUACCCAACAGAAAGAUGAUCACUAAUAGAUGACAAGCUAUUUAAUUUUAUGUUUACUUUUGGAAGGAUGCAGGUACUGUGCAGGGUUUCUACAACACAUCAGCAUUGCUUACACCAGUACUUCAAAUAUGAGUUAUUUAAUCACCCAAGUUAAAUGAAAAUAACCAAAUGAUUAAAUAAAAUCAAGUCAUACUUCAUGUGAAGACUUUA